AGACGGAGGGCGCAAGCGUUGUUCGGAAUCACUGGGCAUAAAGAGUACGUAGGCGGUCUGCUAAGUCAGAUGUGAAAGCCCUGGGCUUAACCCGGGAACUGCAUUUGAUACUGGCAAACUUGAGGACAGCAGGGGUGAGUGGAACUUCAGGUGGAACGGUGAAAUGUGUAGAUAUCUGAAGGAACACCGGUGGCGAAAGCGGCUCACUGGGCUGUCUCUGACGCUGAGGUACGAAAGCUAGGGUAGCGAACGGAAUUAGAAACCCUAGUAGUCC
rnacentral:rRNA from 1 species